UCGAGCGAACGGACGAGAAGCUUGCUUCUCUGACGUUAGCGGCGGACGGGUGAGUAACACGUGGAUAACCUACCUAUAAGACUGGGAUAACUUCGGGAAACCGGAGCUAAUACCGGAUAAUAUUUUGAACCGCAUGGUUCAAAAGUGAAAGACGGUCUUGCUGUCACUUAUAGAUGGAUCCGCGCUGCAUUAGCUAGUUGGUAAGGUAACGGCUUACCAAGGCAACGAUGCAUAGCCGACCUGAGAGGGUGAUCGGCCACACUGGAACUGAGACACGGUCCAGACUCCUACGGGAGGCAGCAGUAGGGAAUCUUCCGCAAUGGGCGAAAGCCUGACGGAGCAACGCCGCGUGAGUGAUGAAGGUCUUCGGAUCGUAAAACUCUGUUAUUAGGGAGGAACAUAUGUGUAAGUAACUGUGCACAUCUUGACGGUACCUAAUCAGAAAGCCACGGCUAACUACGUGCCAGCAGCCGCGGUAAUACGUAGGUGGCAAGCGUUAUCCGGAAUUAUUGGGCGUAAAGCGCGCGUAGGCGGUUUUUUAAGUCUGAUGUGAAAGCCCACGGCUCAACCGUGGAGGGUCAUUGGAAACUGGAAAACUUGAGUGCAGAAGAGGAAAGUGGAAUUCCAUGUGUAGCGGUGAAAUGCGCAGAGAUAUGGAGGAACACCAGUGGCGAAGGCGACUUUCUGGUCUGUAACUGACGCUGAUGUGCGAAA
rnacentral:rRNA from 1 species